UUUUCUAUUUGUGAUCUGUUUUUUAAAUUUUGUUAGAUAGUGUUUCACAUAUUUUAACAGAUUUCAGUUUGUUUGUGUAUUGAAAACAAAUGUUUAUGUAGCGUUCAGUGUAAUACUAUUGCAUGCACACUCUUUUUGUCUCAUGUUGCUUCCAUUUCUCUCUGACUUUUUUCGUGUAAAAACGGAUAUACUCUGCGAAAGGUGUACGCGCGUGCUAAAAUUAAAUCCGUUGCACGUAACGAUUCUAAUUUCAGUAAAGCUAGAAGAUUGACGCUGGAACAUUAUGUAAUCAACGUUGAUUAUGACGUUUCAUAAUGAUCAAUGGAAGAUAAAUCCCCUAUUUUUGGCGACGGAUUCACAGAGUUUUGCCUGCUUUAAAUUUAAAAAAAAAAAAACGCUCGAAAGUCCUUAGACCUUUCUUUUCUUCGUCCUUGGCUCGAUCGGUCAACCAUCUCGGAAAUACGCUUGCGCAAUCGAUCCACCGGGAAUUCCAAAUUUCACAGGCGAGCAACUGCCGAUCGGAGAAAAGAUCGAUUCCGAGCCUUCAUUCGAUAUUUUCGAGACGAUGAACGAAGCAGUGAUCUCCAAUACCAAUUUCGCAAUUUUUUCGGGAUGUUUCAAACUUACUUUGAAAAAUGCUCGAUUCAGUUAAUUCAGAGAUUUCGCCAAUUGGAAGAUUCUUGCAGCCACAAUCGAGUAAUGGUGCAAUCGACGCCGUGACUAUUGCAAUCGAGGCUGCAACCUGGCGCCGAGUUCUUUAAUACACGGAGGAGCGACAGGUUAAUCUUAUCAAUUCUAUGAAAAAAGAAAAAAAAAAAGAAAAGGAAGAAGAGCCAAUAUCUUUCGUUACGGUGGAUAAGAUCUUGCCGAUACAUUUUAUCGCGUUAUAUUUACGAAACAAUAAAUUACAAAGGUACCAAUAACAAUAACUUUCUGAUGAGAAACGAUUUUUUCUGUUCAAGUCGCCGGAGGGAAGAAAAAUCGCCGAGAAGGCUCCGAAUAGUCAGUGUCGAAAAGCUCAACAAACCGGAAAGAGAUUAGGUCAGAGAUCCAGCUGUGGGAUCUGGAAUUUCAAUCGUGAGCUGUAGCACGCACCGCGGGAAAGAAUUUUGGAAUUAAAGAGGACAGAGAAAAGAGUGCCAUCCGAGACCUGUUUUGAUCUAUUAACAAGACUGGAUACUCGCUGCAUUUGCAUUUGGACGAAGGAGAGAGAAUUUUCUGCAUCUUGGAGGAAUAUCUCGAAUGUGGAGCUAUUGAUUGCCAAUGUUACAAUGUUACAUGUACAACUAGAUCUUAGUUGGUGAUCAAGCCCAAACGAAAGCUUCCAUUGAAACCAGAAAGGAGGAUUUUAGUUAAAAGUUGAAAAGAGAGCAGAGAAUUUUAAUAACAAAGAGAAUUAAAAAUCUCUCUCUUUUAAUUGUAAUUUAAAAACGAAGAACGCCACGAUAGAAGCGCGAUAUUGAUUAAUAUUGUAUAUUUUCUGUCGAGUGCCGAGAGAUAUUUGAUAACAAGGAGAUAAAAAGGAGAAUUGAAAUUAAUAAGUUCUUCGAUAUUCGAGGAAGAAGAAAUAGAUAGUAUCGCUUCGACUUAGUGGAGAAUUAUCGUUAUUAUCGUUGUGAAAUGUAGGGGAAAGGGAGACUGCUACACGGGGAAAGAACCGAGGGCAUUGCGCCCGAAUGAGUCAAUGGGAAUGCCGUAGAAAAGGAAAAAAAUGAAAAACGAAAAGGGACGCUAAUAGAAUUGACGUCAAAAAGCAAUGCACUUCGGACGCCAGGUUUCUUGAAGAAUAAUCGAUACGAAGUUGCGGCGGAAAUUAGAAAUCUGAACUGCGUUCGAAGAAAGUCCUGGAAUCUAGGUCAACUUGCACCGGUAUUCCCCGUAUCACGAGCGCGAGGGUAUACCCCGUGUCUGGUUCUGCUCGUACGUCAGUGAAAAACCGAUCAUUUUUAGUUCUACGUCCGUUUGCAUUCCAAGUCGUUCCCUCGAGCCAAUCACGUCAAUCGAACAUUGACGACUUAUUUAUAUUACGUUGCAAUACAAUAUGUGCGUAUUAAAUGUUUACGUGUACGUAAUUAUGUAAUUAUUCUACAUCAGAAAUAAUACGAGAUGAUACGUUUCAGAUAUUUCAGAAAAUUGUAUGGUAUCUAGGGAGUUUGAUCUAGAGAUAACGUUGCAGAAACCUGCAAGUCACAUUUCAAUUUUUAAAUCGAACCUUGUUUCUUUUAUUGCAUAUCGAGACGUGUAUAAAAUAUCUACUUAUUCAAUAGAUACAUAUACUUUCAUAAGCUGUUUAUAAAUUGUUAUCUUCCAAAGAGUUUACGUGUCGUCAGCAAUAGCGUUAGCCAAUGAACGCCCUGAGUGAAUAUGUAUUUCAAAAUAAUCCAACACUUGCAGAAACAAUCACGUGUAGGCGUCUAAAACGGGUAUGGAAGCUACGUGAAUCACCCUGUACAACGUUACAGUAUUUGUCACAGCCAUGUGAAUGCCGAAGUGUCCCAUCGAAAAUCUUUUCCUAUAUGAAUUACCCCGAGAAGAUUGCUAACGUUUUCAUUUCACACGCUUUACGACGCAGAAGUCUACAGUUGGUAUUUUAAUACCGUGGCUCGAAGAACCGCACAACAAUGGGACGAGAAUUUAUGUGGGAGAUCUAGAAAGACACGGAAGAUUUGAAGAGAGAAGAUACGUCUCGAUCGUUGCGAAACAGUUGCUCGAAAAAGGGAAUCGCGGUUAGCAACAAUAGCAACGCUGGUGAAUUCUGCAGAUAACAAAACGGACAAUUAUAAUAUAAGUAGGUGUGUCGAAACUCGUAUUGAUUUGACGAAACGUGCGCUUAUUUUCGUGUGUACAUGCUAUAACAAGUAGUCACGUUUGCCUAGUUACGUCUAUACUCGCUAUGUAUACUCGCGUACACGUAUAUUCGCUUGUCACAGGGUGUGCUCGAUCGUAAACAAACCGCGGGUCCGAUUUAUGGCAGAUGCCAAGAGGAUUGCGAAACAGCGCGAUAACGUGAUCGUCGCGAACAUUGUCUGCAGCGUGACUUGCACGCGUACGUUUUAUCUUACGUACAUCGUUUACUGUUUACACGAUUUGUUUUUCUUUUUCUUUCAAGCAAAGAUAAAAGACCGACUUUUAUUUCCGGAAGAUCACGGACUCAUUGAGGCGAGCCAUCAGGAUAAAAUUCACGAAGAGCGGAGAGAUUUUUUUCUCCCAACGAACAUUCAACAGAGAGAGAAUGACGUCUCCGAUUCGACUAAAUUCAACAAAUUCUAUGGCAUUUCUAUACUAUUUUCUAAACCACGGGUGGUCAAUCGUGACGCAAUGCGCCCCUAGCGGCGCGCAGACCAAGUUAUUUAAACGGCGCAUCGAAGCUCACUUGGGAGAGAAAUUGGCACGUGGGGAAAGUUUGGCCUAUUGAAGUUUUGAACUAUCACUCACCUGUUUACCGACGUAGGACUCUAAGCUGCCGUGUUGCGCAAUCAGGCCAGACCUUAGGGACGUCACGUUCGACAGUUUGAUUCUGCACUCGUAUCUCGACCGAUCUGCAAAAUUUCCACGGAUUAUUCACAGAGAGAAGGAAAACUUUCGGGAGUUUCAUUUUCCCUGGGAAAAUCCGAAUCGGAUUGGAAAUCCGAAGGACGAGGCUAUAUAUAACUUACUGUUAUAGAUCUUCGUGCCGUUUUUACACGCGCACGGUUGCUGUUCCCCCUUCUCGUCGUAAGGGCAUUGUAUUAUGCAAUUCUCGAUGCCGCACUCUGCAAACAAGCAUCUCGUGAGUCAUCGAAAUGUUGUCUGCGUAGUGAACGAUCUCUCGAGUUUGUCGUUAAGCGUUUCAAACAAGUUAAUUGAUUCGCUGAGAAUACCAAUAAAAAAAAAAAAAAAAAUACAUAGUU